UGAGGAAUAUUGGUCAAUGGUCGGAAGACUGAACCAGCCAUGCCGCGUGCAGGAAGGAGGUCCUAUGGAUUGUAAACUGCUUUUUUCGGGGAAUAAUAAGACUUUUGCGAAGGUUGAUGCAGGUACCCGAAGAAUAAGGAUCGGCUAACUCCGUGCCAGCAGCCGCGGUAAUACGGAGGAUUCGAGCGUUAUCCGGAUUUAUUGGGUUUAAAGGGUGCGUAGGCGGAUGGGUAAGUCAGCGGUGAAAUGUCCCGGCUCAACCGGGGAACUGCCAUUGAUACUGCCUGUCUUGAAUGCGGAUGCCGUGGGAGGAAUGUGUAGUGUAGCGGUGAAAUGCAUAGAUAUUACACAGAACACCGAUUGCGAAGGCAUCUCACGAAUCCGUUAUUGACGCUGAGGCACGAAAGCGUGGGGAUCAAACAGGAUUAGAUACCCUGGUAGU
rnacentral:rRNA from 1 species